rnacentral:rRNA from 1 species
AACGAACGCUGGCGGCAUGCCUAACACAUGCAAGUCGAACGAGACCUUCGGGUCUAGUGGCGCACGGGUGCGUAACGCGUGGGAACCUGCCCUUAGGUUCGGAAUAACUCCCCGAAAGGGGUGCUAAUACCGGAUAAUGUCUUCGGACCAAGGAUUUAUCGCCUUUGGAUGGGCCCGCGUUGGAUUAGCUAGUUGGUAGGGUAAGAGCCUACCAAGGCGACGAUCCAUAGCUGGUCUGAGAGGAUGAUCAGCCACACUGGGACUGAGAAACGGCCCAGACUCCUACGGGAAGCAGCAGUGGGGAAUAUUGGACAAUGGGCGAAAGCCUGAUCCAGCAAUGCCGCGUGAGUGAUGAAGGCCUUAGGGUUGUAAAGCUCUUUUACCCGGGAUGAUAAUGACAGUACCGGGAGAAUAAGCUCCGGCUAACUCCGUG